rnacentral:tmRNA from 1 species
GGGGUCGACUGGAUUCGACGUUGAUUUAACAACAAUUUACGGCAUGUCGAGUAUCAGAUUAUCUCGUAAAAAUUUAUCUGAACAAUAUAAACGCAAACGAUUCGCGUUACAAGCUAGCAGCUUAGUCUAUUAGCCGUUGCAUUGAUUUUUUCCUUGGAUCAUUUGAAUAUAUUUAGUAAUACCAAAUUAAUAUUCAUAGCAACGACAUAUAAAGGAAUCGAAAGAUGUUAUAGUCAUAUGAUAUCUUUUUAAAUUAAAUGACUAGCUUUACUAAAUUUUGUAAAUUAAUAAAAGUAAAGUUAAAUAUUAUUAAUUUACUAAACAUGUAGAAGUGAUUGUGAAGAAUUAGCGGACGGGGGUUCGAUUCCCCCCGACUCCACCA